rnacentral:tRNA from 1 species
AUACUUUUAACUAUAAGUUAGGCGAACUAAUGCUCGCUGGUUUGGGCAGGUAGCUGUUAACUACUUGUUGUGGGAUCGAGGCCCACUGGUUCU